UACGAGAGGCCCAAACGUUAUUCGGAAUUACUGGGCUUAAAGAGUUCGUAGGCGGCAUGACAAGUAGGGUGUGAAAGCCCUCGGCUCAACCGAGGAAUUGCGCUCUAAACUGUCGUGCUUGAGGAACCUAGAGGUGAGCAGAACAGAUGGUGGAGCGGUGAAAUGCGUAGAUAUCUGGAGGAAUACCGGUGGCGAAGGCGGCAUCCUGGACCGACAUUGACGCUGAACGGCGAAAGCUAGGGGAGCAAACGGG
rnacentral:rRNA from 1 species